rnacentral:rRNA from 1 species
AGCAGCCGCGGUAAUUCCAGCUCCAAUAGCGUAUAUUAAAGUUGUUGCAGUUAAAAAGCUCGUAGUUGAAUUUCGGGAUCAAUACGUUGGUCGUGCUUUCGGGUACGUACUGGCGUCAUUGGUUUCUCUCUUCUGACGAACCAUGAUGUCAUUAGUUUGGUGUUAUGGGGAGUUAGGACUGUUACUUUGAAAAAAUUAGAGUGUUUAAAGCAAGCUAACGCUUGAAUACAUUAGCAUGGAAUAAUGAAAUAGGACGUUCGAUCCUAUUUUGUUGGUUUCUAGGAUUGACGUAAUGAUUAAUAGGGAUAGUUGGGGGGCAUUAGUAUUCAAUUGUCAGAGGUGAAAUCCUUGGAUUUAUUGAAGACUAACUACUGCGAAAGCAUUUGCCAAGGAUGUUUUCAUUAAUUAAGAAACGAAAGUUAGGGGAUCGAAGACGAUCAGAUACCGUCGUAGUCUUAACCAUAAACUAUGCCGACUAGGGAUCGGAUGAUGUUAAUUUUUUAAUGACUCAUUCGGCGCC